rnacentral:lncRNA from 1 species
CCUGCAAUUGAUCUCUCAACUCCCUUAGCUCGGCCGGCGCCAUGCGAUACGGGGCCUUAGAAAUCGGUGCGGUGCCAGGAACCAAGUCAAUCAUGAACUCGAUCUCCCGGUCCGGCGGCAUACCCGGUAACUCCGCGGGAAACACAUCGGGGAACUCCCGCACAACCGCCAACUCCUCGAGGGUCGGAACUGCUCGGUCAAUCUCCACAACGG